rfam:Clavibacter michiganensis subsp. sepedonicus complete genome
UGGGUCGGCAAGACGGUCGCGCCGCGGAGGAUCCCGAGAGGGGGAGACCGCGUCGAGGAACGUCCGGGCUCCGCAGAGCAGGGCGGUGGGUAACACCCACCCGGGGCGACCCGCGAGACAGUGCAACAGAGAGCAGACCGCCCGUCGCGGAAGCGGCGGGUGAGGGUGAAACGGCGGUGUAAGAGACCACCAGCGGCCCGAGUGAUCGGGUCGGCUAUGCAAACCUCGCCCGGAGCAAGGUCGAACAGGGGACGCACAGGCUGCUCGUCCAGUCCCCGGGUAGACCGCUGGAGGGCUGCGGUGACGCAGCUCCGAGAUAGAUGGCCGUCCAUGGUGCCGCGAGGCACCGGGACAGAACCCGGCGUAUCAGCCGGCCCAUCCG